CACGUAGGGUGCGAGCGUUGUCCGGAAUUAUUGGGCGUAAAGAGCUCGUAGGCGGUGUGUCGCGUCGGCCGUGAAAACCUGUGGCUUAACUAUGGGCCUGCGGUCGAUACGGGCAUCACUGGAGUUCGGUAGGGGAGACUGGAAUUCCUGGUGUAGCGGUGAAAUGCGCAGAUAUCAGGAGGAACACCGAUGGCGAAGGCAGGUCUCUGGGCCGAUACUGACGCUGAGGAGCGAAAGCGUGGGGAGCGAACAGG
rnacentral:rRNA from 1 species